ACCACCACGAACUUGAAAACGCUGGAGCAGUUUCAUUGCAGCAAGGAGCCAUGUAGUAAAGAACGCAUGAAGAUCCCAGCAAACACCUUCUCAGGGGAUGCCUAAGACAACAACAGCAGCCGCAGCAGCAGCGAAUCCUUUGAAGAAAGCAGACACUUGCUGGGCAGAAGUGUGUUGGAAUGUCUACGCCACGCCACUCUGGCCAUAUUUCACUGUGUUCAGUCCAGGUUACAUUUGAGCCUCCAGAAGGGACACCUGAUCAAUACCCUUGUUUUUAUAAGCAUUC